rnacentral:rRNA from 1 species
CAGCAGCCGCGGGAAUACGUAGGGUGCGAGCGUUAAUCGGAAUUACUGGGCGUAAAGCGUGCGCAGGCGGUUGUGUAAGACAGAUGUGAAAUCCCCGGGCUUAACCUGGGAACUGCAUUUGUGACUGGCGGGCUAGAGUAUGGCAGAGGGGGGUAGAAUUCCACGUGUAGCAGUGAAAUGCGUAGAGAUGUGGAGGAAUACCGAUGGCGAAGGCAGCCCCCUGGGCCAAUACCGACGCUCAUGCACGAAAGCGUGGGGAGCAAACAGGAUUAGAUACCCCCGUAGUCCCUGUCUCUUAUAC